rnacentral:rRNA from 1 species
UACGGGAGGCAGCAGUGGGGAAUAUUGCACAAUGGGCGAAAGCCUGAUGCAGCUAUGCCGCGUGUAUGAAGAAGGCCUUAGGGUUGUAAAGUACUUUCAGCGGGGAGGAAGGCGAUGCGGUUAAUAACCGCGUCGAUUGACGUUACCCGCAGAAGAAGCACCGGCUAACUCCGUGCCAGCAGCCGCGGUAAUACGGAGGGUGCAAGCGUUAAUCGGAAUUACUGGGCGUAAAGCGCACGCAGGCGGUCUGUUAAGUCAGAUGUGAAAUCCCCGGGCUUAACCUGGGAACUGCAUUUGAAACUGGCAGGCUUGAGUCUUGUAGAGGGGGUAGAAUUCCAGGUGUAGCGGUGAAAUGCGUAGAGAUCUGGAGGAAUACCGGUGGCGAAGGCGGCCCCUGGGACAAAGACUGACGCUCAGGUGCGAAAGCGUGGGGAGCAAACAGGAUUAGAUACC